UACGUAGGGGGCGAGCGUUGUCCGGAAUGACUGGGCGUAAAGGGCGCGUAGACGGCUGUCUAAGUCUGGAGUGAAAGUCCUGCUUUCAAGGUGGGAAUUGCUUUGGAGACUGGAUGGCUUGAGUGCGGAAGAGGUAAGUGGAAUUCCCAGUGUAGCGGUGAAAUGCGUAGAGAUUGGGAGGAACACCAGUGGCGAAGGCGACUUACUGGGCCGUAACUGACGUUGAUGCGCGAAAGCGUGGGGAGCGAACAGGAUUAGAAACCCCAGUAGUCC
rnacentral:rRNA from 1 species